rnacentral:rRNA from 1 species
ACCCAGACUCCUACGGGAGGCAGCAGUGGGGAAUAUUGCACAAUGGGGGAAACCCUGAUGCAGCGACGCCGCGUGAGCGAUGAAGUAUUUCGGUAUGUAAAGCUCUAUCAGCAGGGAAGAAGAUGACGGUACCUGACUAAGAAGCCCCGGCUAACUACGUGCCAGCAGCCGCGGUAAUACGUAGGGGGCAAGCGUUAUCCGGAUUUACUGGGUGUAAAGGGAGCGUAGACGGCGAUGCAAGCCAGAUGUGAAAGCCCGGGGCUCAACCCCGGGACUGCAUUUGGAACUGUGUGGCUGGAGUGUCGGAGAGGCAGGCGGAAUUCCUAGUGUAGCGGUGAAAUGCGUAGAUAUUAGGAGGAACACCAGUGGCGAAGGCGGCCUGCUGGACGAUGACUGACGUUGAGGCUCGAAAGCGUGGGGAGCAAACAGGAUUAGAUACCCUAGUA